rnacentral:rRNA from 1 species
AGCGCGGUGGUCCCACCUGACCCCAUGCCGAACUCAGAAGUGAAACGCCGUAGCGCCGAUGGUAGUGUGGGGUCUCCCCAUGCGAGAGUAGGGAACUGCCUGGC